UUGUGAAUGUUUAUAAUAAUGUCAAUAUUUAUUGGACUGUCCAUUCUGUUUGUACUUAAUAUUAAUUAAAUUUUAGAGACUUAAAACAAACCAUACAGUACAUAGAGUACUGCACAAUGGAUGAAGGAAAUGAUCCAGUGAAUGGAGAGAAGAGCAAGUGCAAGAACUGUACUUGUACUUGCACUGAUCGCUACUUGAGGGAGUUCCUUGAAGAUAACACAAUAGCUGGCAUCAGUCACGUCUUUAAAGGUCAGUCUAAAGUGAGGAGGUCGUUUUGGGCUCUGAUCUUCAUUGCUGCCAUCAUUAGCUGCAUAGCUCUCAUCAGUCUAAGCAUACAGAUAUUCCUAAACAAACCAACAGCUUCUACCAUUAACGUCAUCACUCUUAAUGGUGUUCCAUUCCCAAGUGUGACCAUUUGCAAUAUCAACUUUGAGAAGAAUGAGGCUCUUCCGUUGCUCAGUCGUACGUACAACCUCAUGAACCAGCUGUUCAAUGCGGACGAGAGCUUUCACUCCAACAGCAUGAAUGCUUCCUCAGUCAUUUCAAACUGUAGGAACACAGUCCCCAGGAAUAACAGUGACGCAACCUUUGAAGCAACAAUAUGGAAUAUACAAAGACCAGCUCGAUCUAAGAGAAGGCUCAUACAUUACUGUGGGUUUGUGACUGGCGUUAAUAGCAACGUCUCCAAUUGUAAGAGCCUUUUCCAGCCAGUCCUGACCCCAGCUGGAAUAUGCUUCAAUUACAAUGGCAGCAGUAACACUAUUCACAGUACUGGGACUAGAUAUGGCAUGAAGCUUGUCCUAAAUAUAGAGCAGGACCUCAGACCCUCGUACAAUGGUAAAGCAGGAGUUAUACUUUCAGUCCAUGAUGGGAAAGAUGUGGCUAGACCGAAUGUCAAUGGUAUCAACGUAGCACCAGGUCAAGCAAUCGAUGUUGGAGUCAACCUAAAAGAAUACAUUGACGAGACGAAAGAAGCAAAUUGCACUGCAGGACAAGACCUUGUCUUCUUUGAGGAUUAUGACUACUCUCAGUACGCCUGUGCACAAGAUGCACUCAUUAAACAAAUAGCAAAGCCUAAUGUAUGCAACUGCACUCUACUACCAAGGAGGCCAUCGAAUGGAGAGUAUGACCAUACUCCUAACUGUACCUUCCCCACCUCAUGCUGCUUACUGAAUGAGUACAAGACCAUCAAUACAGAGGAGCAAUGCCCACUGCCCUGUAGAUACAGAUACUAUGACUACACCACAAGCUAUGCUAGCUAUCCUAACUCAUUCAUAUUAGAAGAUUUAAUGAGAGAUGAGAAUGUCACUGAAGACUAUUUAAGAAAGAAUUACCUAUCAAUUAACAUAUAUAUCAAUGAUUUACGAUACAGCGUGGUCACUACUUCAUACACGUUUGGUGUUGCAGGUCUGCUGGGAGAUAUAGGAGGACAAUUGGGUCUGUUCAUUGGAGUAAGCAUAAUCACAUUCUUUGAAGUUUUGAUUUUAUGUCUUGACGAGUUAAAGAGGAUCUGCUGUCCUGAUUUCGUUAUAAAUAAGUGCAAGAACAUGAAGAAGAAAGGAGAAAGCUCGGACAUAGUUGCUGGAGAGAGAGAGACAAGAAGACAGAUCCAGAGGAAGGCAUGGUCUAAUGACAGUCUAUAAAACAACACCAACAUUUAAUAAUAUUAAUAAUAAUAAUAAUAAUAAUAAUAAUAAUAAUAAUAAUAAUAAUAA
rnacentral:misc_RNA from 1 species